AUUGAACGCUGGCGGCAGGCUUAACACAUGCAAGUCGAGCGGGGGAAGGUAGCUUGCUACCGGACCUAGCGGCGGACGGGUGAGUAAUGCUUAGGAAUCUGCCUAUUAGUGGGGGACAACAUCUCGAAAGGGAUGCUAAUACCGCAUACGUCCUACGGGAGAAAGCAGGGGAUCUUCGGACCUUGCGCUAAUAGAUGAGCCAAAGUCGGAUUAGCUAGUUGGUGGGGUAAAGGCCUACCAAGGCGACGAUCUGUAGCGGGUCUGAGAGGAUGAUCCGCCACACUGGGACUGAGACGCGGCCCAGACUCCUACGGGAGGCAGCAGUGGGGAAUAUUGGACAAUGGGGGGAACCCUGAUCCAGCCAUGCCGCGUGUGUGAAGAAGGCCUUAUGGUUGUAAAGCACUUUAAGCGAGGAGGAGGCUACUUUAGUUAAUACCUAGAGAUAGUGGACGUUACUCGCAGAAUAAGCACCGGCUAACUCUGUGCCAGCCGCCGCCGUAA
rnacentral:rRNA from 1 species